rnacentral:rRNA from 1 species
UACAGAGGUGGCAAGCGUUGUUCGGAUUUACUGGGCUAAAGCGCACGUAGGCGGAUCGAUCAGUCAGGGGUGAAAUCCCAGAGCUCAACUCUGGAACUGCCUUUGAUACUGUCGAUCUGGAGUAUGGAAGAGGUGAGUGGAAUUCCGAGUGUAGAGGUGAAAUUCGUAGAUAUUCGGAAGAACACCAGUGGCGAAGGCGACUUACUGGACGAUUGUUGACGCUGAGGUGCGAAAGCGUGGGGAGCAAACAGG